UCGAAAAAAUUAUUUCUCAUUUCUUUUCUUCUUCUUUCUUCUUCUGCUUCUCCUCUGUUUCUCUUCUAGUUGAUUUUAGGAGAUGAAUUAUACUUCUGAGAUCGAGAUAAGAAGAGUCUGGUCAUGAAUCAGGUGAUGAUGGAAGUGAUAUUGUUGUUUGAGUUUAGGAGGAAGCUGAAUCAAGAAGUCAGUGAGUUAGGGUUUGAUAAGGAAUUGAGAGGUGAAUUGAUUCGUUAAUGGAUGAAGAUUGAUUGGGUUGUUGAUUAAUUGAUGAGAUGAAGCAGUUCUGCUGAUGAAUCAAACUGAAAAGUUACUCUUUAUUAACACCGAUCGAUUCAAAGGAUGAACCAGUAGAUUGAGGAUCUCGAGGUAGGCGUGGCUUAUCAUCAAAUCAGUUUUCAGUAACCAGAAGAAAAGGUGCGUUCGAAGAUAACUGUUUCGUAGCUUAAAUCUUUUAUCGUAUUAGAGAUGUUGCGUGUCUUUUGUUUAUGUAUACUUUUGGUAAUUUGUAAAACAACACAUUAUUAUAUUCAUAUCACUCGGGAGAUCUUCAUUUAUGUAAUAUCAGAGUGUAUGGGUUU